AGCGAACGUUUGCGGCGGGCCUAACACAUGCAAGUCGAACGCACUAGCAAUAGUGAGUGGCGCACGGGUGCGUAACACGUGGGUAAUCAACCCUUCAGCCUGGGAUAACGACUCGAAAGGGUCGCUAAUACCGGAUACGGCGCGAGAGGCUUCGGCUUCUCACGAGAAAGCCACGCAAGGGGCACUGAAGGACGAGCCUGCGGCCCAUCAGCUAGUUGGUGAGGUAAGAGCUCACCAAGGCUAAGACGGGUAGCUGGUCUGAGAGGAUGAUCAGCCACACUGGAACUGAGACACGGUCCAGACUCCUACGGGAGGCAGCAGUGGGGAAUAUUGCGCAAUGGGCGAAAGCCUGACGCAGCCACGCCGCGUGAGCGAUGAAGGCCUCGGUCGUAAGACGUCUGUGGGGAGGAGACGAAGAAAGA
rnacentral:rRNA from 1 species